CUUACCCUCGGCGGCGGAGGCGGAGGAGCCAUGGCCACGGUACUUCUCCUCCCCUCCUGCCACACCUCCGGCGACGCCGAAGGAAAUCCUCGCCAUGGCCGCCGUCCUCCCCGCCGGAAACGCUUCCGCCGCCGCCUCUCCUCCGCUGGAAGAGCAAGGGUUCUAGUUUGCGCCAUACACCUUCCACUCCUGCGGCGGCAUAAGCACGAAAGGGGAGUGCUUGCUUCGAAUCUCUAAGAAGGAUGCAUUUCUAGAUGGAUGAGCGUCACUCAAUGAUUUGGAUGAGAGUGCUGCAGUUGAGAAUUUUGAAGAUGGAUCAUUUAAACAGUGCAAGGAGUGGUACACUGGUACUAAACUGACUUAGUGAGCUCAAUUGAUAUAUGAAUGAUUCUGCAGUUGGACAAAAUUACAUGCUACUAAAACAAUAAGUGAUGCACUGAUGUGCUGUCCUGUUAGUUGAAUUCUUAUGAUGGAUGUUGAAAUCACGGAUUCUAUAAUUCCUACCAGUGAGAUGCUUUCUUGACUUUGUCUCAGCAAAGAAUGCCACAAAAACAAGAUAUCGGAAAUUAUCAAGAAAGCCACAAAAACAAGAUAUCGGAAAUUAUCAAGUAUGCUAUUAUAAGGGUUGGAUUACACCAAGUUAGUUUUUUUGGAUGUUGCAACUAAUUUCUUACUGUGAAAUUAUCUGCUUGAUGCAGUUCACAGUGUGGGCAUCUAGACAGCUAAGAGUGGUCCUGUUCUUUUUGACUGUAUCAGCAGUAAGCACAAUUGGAAUAUGAAGCCUUCUAGGAAGACGGAGAAAAAACCAACUUGCUACUAAAAAUUUAAAAUGAAUGACAUGUUGAUUUGCCAGUUGAGUUUCUAUCGUGAUAAUAAACCAAAUAAGGAUUCCUAUCAUUCCAACUGGGCAACUGGCAAUAGUCUCUAAACAGCUUUGUAUUAAAUCACAAUGCUUAGGAAAAAAAAGUAUCUAUCUGUUCCAGUAGGCACACAUGCUGGUUUUUUUAAUGGUUUUCUUCUUUAUUUUUUUAAAAGAUCAAUUAAGCACUCUUUGUACCAAGAAAAACAUAAGUAGACUUUUCUAUUUCUAAACCAUCAUCAUGUAGAAUCACACAAUGGAGUAAAACGGGAGACAUGGAUUUAAUGUGGAAAGUCAUUAUGAAAAAAGACAUGCACACAAAGUGAUUAGUCCGGAGCAGAGGAUACGGAGAACUCGGACCGUGAUUAAUCCGGAGCAAAGGAUACGGGUCCCCAAGUGACAAGGGUGGCUAUGGGGGAUCUCUUCCUCCACGGCGGGCGUCUCAUCCUCGCGGAAGUGAGGGCCCCUCGAGGCAACCUCACCAGUUCACCGGUGAGGGCUCGUCUCGGGAUCCUCAAACACCGCCUCACUACCCCGCCGUUCCCAUUGGUUCUCUUUGGAUUCACACCCCAGAGCGGGAUCAGUUGGUGAUUCGGCAGCCCCACAACUGGCGCCUCAAAUCUGAGGUGGUUGCGCCCCAGCGGGAGGAGGAUCCUCGCAGCAACCGACGCACCGCCACCGAUGCUCGUUUUUGGACUCUCUUUCAACAAGAUUUCUAUGAGACUGUGAUCAAGCACAAGUCUCAUCCCACGGUGGCGAUGCAGUGGAUCAACUGGGAGGAGUUGCAAUCUUUUGAUGACCCAGAUCUCAACUCCGUCAUUGCAGUUUGUGAGGAGAUGGGGGUUCGCGCGUUCAUGACACUUCAGCAGCCGUGGUGUAAUGAGAUUAUCGCUCAGUUUUAUGCCACGAUGUACUUUGACCGUACUCGUGACGUGCAUUGGAUGACUCAGGGCACCUGGUACUCCAUUUCCGAUGAGAGGCUUGCUAAGUUGGGGGCUUUGAUUUGAACUGGAUGCAACACUUCGCCACCUUGCACGAUCAUCUGAUCCCCCUCAACACCGAGCUUCGUCCUUUGUAUCUUCCUGGUGGUGUCUUGGGCAAGAUAGAGGGCAUCAAGCCCUUUCACUCUUUUCUGAACCGGAUGUUGUGCCGGACUCCUGUGCCAAAGGAUGGUGAUGCUAGCAACAUCAACCAUGUCUCCCGGAAUGUCCUGCUCAGGUUCAAUCCUCCCUCCCACCCCUUCAAUGUCUUCAAUUUGUAUGGGAGGAAAUCUAGUUGGCAUCUUUUCAGUACAAGAAGGGCUUAAUCUAUGCUCCUCAUCUUAUGAGGAUGAUCGAGACCGUGACUCAGCUGCAGUUUGAGCAUGAGGCACCUCACCCUCAGCUUCACCUGCGCCUACUCAAGGUUGACCGCCCCUCUAGGGUGGAUACUUCCACUGCAAAGCUGGGGACAUUCCCUCCACUUCAACUCAGCCACAUGCUCCUGUGGCUCACCGCGAGCCUUCUUCCUUGUUCCACAUCUUGCGAAGUCUUUUUUGGCCUUUGCUCUGCAGAGGCUAAGAAGAAUUGCAAGGCGCGAAAUGAGGUUAAGAAGACGGCCCGGCGCGUCAAGGACAUGCAAACUUAGUUGAACUUGCAUCUACAGGUGGAGGCGCCUCCUUCGCCUCUAGGUUUUGAAGCAGAGCCUGACGAGCCUGAGGAGGAGAUUGAGGACCCCUUCGCUGGCUAUCCUCCGGACAACGACUUCUUUGUGUUUAUAGUGCACACUUCUAGGGGGAGUUCUCACUAAAACUUUGCAUCCACAUCAAUAAUUUAGCUCACUAAAAUAGUGAAGAUGGACUAAAGUUUUACCCUGCCAGGUGGACUCGAGUGGCCCAGCUUAGCUUUACCCUGCCAUCGCCUCAUCCUGGAGCACGUGGCUGGCUAUCCGUCGUUGUGCGCCAUGCGCCUCCUGAUCCCGCUGACUGAUGACGCGCUAGUUUGUGGGGAUCGAUUAUUAGCAUCUUUUUGACAUUCAUUCAUUGAUUCAUCAUGUACAUUUGUGUGUUGUUGUGUGCGUCUGUGAUUACUGAUUAGUACUGUGCUUACUCCUGAUUGGCUAGCUAGCAGUACCAGAGAUUGUGUUUGUUUUGGGGCCCGGAUUUGACGACGGCAUUCCUUCAUUCUUUUAGUCUGUCUGAUAGUUGGAUUGACACAUGUUCUUUCUCCUGUGCUUAAUUUUACCCCCUUUUUUUUGCAUAGAUAGAUGUUCAUUCUUUUACACAUGUGCUUAAAUAUGGUUUUUUCUGUAUGCAUGUGUGUGUGUGCUGCACUGCUCCCGUGCGUAAAUUAUACUUGUCUCUCAUCAGUGAUGGAAGUGCAUGCGUGUGUGCGGAGGGAAAAAAGAGAGGCUACAUUGAUGUACAUUGUUUCCUCUGCUUACAUUGUUCUGGACAAGUCGCAUGCGCUAUCUCGUCAGUGACACAUCCACGUGGCCUGCGAUGUGCAAGACAUAUUGAUUGUUCGAGGGAUUUAAACGGAAAAAAAUAAAACAUUCAACAGUUCUCCUCCCCCCAAAACUUAUACUUAGAUUCCAAAUCUUAUAAUAGAGAAACAACAAAAGGAAAACACUAAAUACCCAGCUAGACCUGUCAUGCCAAACAACACACUGAGUCGAUGUAGCCUGAACUCCCACACAUCACAUUCAUAUUCCAUCUAUCUCUUACCGACCCCUUCGCCACGCUGCCCCUUCAUUUGGACGGAUCCAUUCGAUCCAGAUCCGACAGGCUCUAUAAACGCAAUAAGGGUGCUCCAUUAUGGCCAAUUUACAAAAGCUAGAUCGCCGACACAAGAGGAUGUUAAUCUAGAGCGAGCUUACGCCAGUUGCUUGAGGGGUGAUGACACGGGGUUGCCUAGACAACGUCUCCAAGAAGAGAAACGACGGAAGAGCACCACCGUCGUAUGUGAAGGUCUCAAAGAGAGCCGAGAUAAGGUUUUGACCUGGCCAACCCGCGAGAGGGGAUGAGACGGCAAGACAACGUCCACAGGAGGGAGAGUGACGCUCGAAACGCUACCGUUGCCGGCCCGACUAAGACCGGGCUAGGUUUUCACCCACCGUUUGCCGCCUUUCUAUCUACAACUAACACACCAAAGCU